CUGAGGUCUUUUAAACAAAUGAGAUUUAUAUAAGAAGGAGGAAACAAUUGAGUUUGAGACUCACUCUAUGUCAUUUCCAUGUACUGAACUCUUGUUAUUUGACUAUGCCAAGAUAAAUUACCUUUAACCUUUAACUUAAUCCACUAUGACAAACUGUUUUCUAUGUUUUGGAUAACACUAAUUCUUAUCUUAAAUACAAUUUAGGAUGCAUAUGUCAAUUGGGCAUAUGCUGUUUUGGGUCUCACCAUGAGCUUCCUGUUGCAGCCAGAAUCAGAUUCAAGAUCUUGUUUCUGGUCUAUGAUGGAGCAAAUGAAAAGGCACCCACGGUUAUCUUCAAGCCAUGUACCAACCAUACACCCCAGCUGGGCAACAGCAAUCAGCUAAAUCUGAUAACUAAGGAAACAUUGGAAAACAUUCCUGAGGAAGUCUUUCCGCAUUUGAAACACAGAUUAAGUGAUUACAUGAGACAUGAUACAUUCCGAGUGCAGUCUGGCCCGUGCAGCUGCCACCCGCACCAUCAGGAGCCUCUUCUGCCUGCUUCUCCUCGAUGACCUACACACUAAACUUCACUUUUGCUGGGACCACACCAGUUCAGGCAGGAGUAUCUUUAGGAAUGUAACCAAAAGCUCAAAUAAGCAUGUUUAUAUAUGUAUUGACGGACUGUGUAUUGACAUCUGUGUGUGGCAAUGAUGAGUGAAUGAAUGUGCGGGUGAAGGGGGUUGGGAGAAAGAGCCAAAAGGAAGGGGAGGCUUCAUACCAGCUGCUAAACAUGACAUUUCCUGGCUGGGCCUUCGGUCCCCAGCAGGGGCGACAUCUGUGUGCCUGCCUUUCAUCCCCCUCUGCUCCUCAGGCAAGAUGGCUGAACUACCUGCAACAGGGCACAGGCCCCAGAGACAGCCAGCACUCUCUACUCUAGCCAGCCAAAGCCUCUCCCAGCUGGGCUCCUGUUGCCUGGGGCCUGAAGCCCAGGCACCCAGCUGCAGUGUCUACCCUUCCCCUGGCCCUGUUUGAUCCUCCGCCCGCAGUCCCUCUGUAUACACACCAGUCACCUCCAGCCCUCAGAGGAAAGAUCAUGCUGGCUUCACACCUCUGAGCUGUUCUUGCUGGAAUUAGAGGUUUUUGGUCUUGAGGGAGCUAUAUUUGUACAGAGUAUGCUUUCUUCAUUGCUAACUAACAGUAAUUGCACUAUAUUUUCAGUAGCAUGGAUGGCAGUGGCUCAAAAUGUUUGGUUCCUAAUAACAAAGUACUUUUUUUCCCCAACAAGCAUUGUAGAGAGACAAUGUUAUAUCCCUUUGUAGCUGAGCAAGCUGAGACAGUAAUAAAAAAAAGAAAGUCUGAUUCAUUUCAGUGAAUUCAGACAUAAACCAUAUUAAAAAAGAAACAAUUCACUCAUCGGAGUCUGUGAGUUCAGCUGUGUCUGAAAUCAUUUGCUGUCAGAGUAUUUCCUUUAAAGGGUUAAUUCACACAAAAAUGAAAUUUCUGUCAUUAAUUACUCACCCUCAUGU